GAUGAACGCUGGCGGCGUGCCUAAUACAUGCAAGUCGAGCGAACGGACGAGAAGCUUGCUUCUCUGAUGUUAGCGGCGGACGGGUGAGUAACACGUGGAUAACCUACCUAUAAGACUGGGAUAACUUCGGGAAACCGGAGCUAAUACCGGAUAAUAUUUUGAAACGCAUGGUUCAAAAGUGAAAGACGGUCUUGCUGUCACUUAUGGAUGGAUCCGCGCUGCAUUAGCUAGUUGGUAAGGUAACGGCUUACCAAGGCAACGAUGCAUAGCCGACCUGAGAGGGUGAUCGGCCACACUGGAACUGAGACACGGUCCAGACUCCUACGGGAGGCAGCAGUAGGGAAUCUUCCGCAAUGGGCGAAAGCCUGACGGAGCAACGCCGCGUGAGUGAUGAAGGUCUUCGGAUCGUAAAACUCUGUUAUUAGGGAAGAACAUAUGUGUAAGUAACUGUGCACAUCUUGACGGUACCUAAUCAGAAAGCCACGGCUAACUACGUG
rnacentral:rRNA from 1 species